CUCGCUUCGUUGAUGCUCGAGUGCACGAACAUGCGCACGAUCUUGUCGCCAGUCAGGAGCUCGGCCCCGAUGCUGCUGCAGUUGAAGCGAGUACCGUCGAUCGGGCGAGCUUGUAGCGCCUCCUGAAUACCAGCUUUUCCUCCUUCUCGAUUUAAAUUUUAAAUUUCCGUUGGCGCUCAACUCCUACUCGGGUAACCGAACUCCAACAGUCUGGCAGCCUUCGGCUUUUUUUUGGCUGUCCGGCAGCACAGUCCGUGAAGCAACUCUGCUCGAUCACCUGUCUGGUAGCUCCGUGAUCAGCUGCUAGGAGAAGCUUUAGUCGUAAACAGAAAGAAGAAAAGUUGUGUGAGAAUUGUUUUUGUUCCGCUAUCAAUGUGAAUAUUUUUGGAUAUCCUGCGCGGAACGCACUGAUUUUGCCCCUGCAGCCGGGCGGGAUGUCUGCAAGGCCGGAUUUCAUACACAGCAUGGCACGGAUUUAUAACUGGAAAACUUGAAGCUCGUGUUGGACGCAACCGCAUUGAAAAAAAGCUCAAGCUUCUUUGAUAAUCGCUUAGUUUUCAGUGCACGGUGACUGCUGUGGAAGCUCUAUCACUAGAUGGACAUUCUGAUGUUAAAUCAGCAUGGGGCUCAGAGGGGUCUUAGGCCUGGUAUUGGAUGAUAAGAUAUACACAAGACAUCUUCUCGAAUCGCUUGUUAAUAUUUCAUCAACUAACAAAGGAUUACGAAUAUGAUCUAAGUCUUCGAUGGCCAACAAGUCUACAGCCAGCACCAAAUGGAGAGGCCGCAGAAAACUAAGCAAGUGCGAAACACGUCGCUGAAUUCGAUUUGAAAAUUGUUGGGAUCAGUUAAAGACAAGAGUGCCAACUCGUUUUCACAUGCGUGUCCUGCCUUCUCGAACUCGGACAGAUAUUCGUUUUGUGUUCAUUUUCGCCAACUGUCGAUGUCUGUGGGUGUGCGCGAUGGAAUAUUUGCAUCGCCAGCAAAGUGGGCUGCUGUCAGGCUACUAUUUGUCGCCUCUUUGCUGGAGGACACUGCAGUUCCCAUGUAUUCCGGAAAUGCCUUUUGUGCGAACAAUUCCAGCAAAUGGAUCUGAGCCCUGGCGCAUGUUUAUAGAUUUUAAUCUAAAGUGCGAGCUCAUUUUCUCCCACUUAUUGGCAUCUCGAUGGGACUUAAGUCCCAAAUGUGUUAGAGGCUACUACCAGAAGUUUCUCAGCCUGGGGAACCCCGAUCUACCACACGCAGUGAGGUGGCUACUGCGUCAACUGCCUUACUUCCAUGCACAGUCUUCACUAGUAGGACUCAAAAAUCAUGUGCCACAAGUUUGCGACCAUCCACAGCCGGAACUUGCCUAAAAGGAAGCCAGUGCCGAACCAGAAACAGCAGCCAACACCAAAACCAAAGCCUCCGCCAACCGCAUACCAGAGGGAGUCGAGGAAUAGGGAGGCUCGCAGCGACGAGGACAAGACCAACAGCCUCCUGAGCCGAUCGAGGACAAAGGGCGAACGGCGGGACAGCGAACGGCGUCCAGUGGGACAUUAGGCCAUUUCAGCUUGCUAAAUUACUAACUUCUGAACGUUCAGCUUCUAAGUGAUAUAUGAUUUUAUAUGGAAUUUUACAUCUGCGAUAGGCCUUUCUUGUCCGUUUUUCAUGGUCUCUUAAAUCGAUCUUAAACCUAUGCAAAAAAAUUAAACAGUAUGCCCUUCUGAACGCGCUCCUGAACGCUCAUAAAAACCUUAAACUUUUGACACUUCUUUUCGGGUGAUGUCCCACUGUACGCCGCUAAAUUAAACGCUGUGCUUCAGCUUCGAGACGCAGGACUUAUUUACACUACGUUAUGCCACAAGCCGAGUCGUAUCCGAUUUCGCUCUGCCAGACGCAGUUCUGUCCAUGCAUUAUCGAGGCUAUUCGAGACAGAACGAGUCCUAUCCCAGCCGAACAGGACAGACAUCAGAGCAAAAGCGCACCACUUCCAAGAACUGAACCUAACAAGCAAUCGUCAUCCUUCGAACUGGCCAUCCACAACAAGGACUUUGACUAUUUUAACCAAGGCAGGGGAUACGCAGGCUACUAGACUCUAGAUAGAUAUCGUUCUUGUUAGCUUUAAGGAUAUACUAUACAUAUAUAAAUAUUUUCCACUUGUGAAUUUAUUUAUACUAAGCUAAGUUAUGAUGAAUAAAAGUAUUGCAAAAUAAUCCUUGCUGUAUCCUGUAUUGGGAAAACUACUACAAAAAGGCGUGGCAUGCCCAGAUCGGGGCACGAAUAGCGGAGAAAACUAAAUAUUUUUGAUGGGGGAAAAAGUCCUUGGUCCUUGAUAAGGACUCCAUCAAAUCAGGAACGUUUUUCCGAUCACAGGAAGCCGUCAGACGCACACAUCGGCCGAUAAAUAGCGGAGAAAAUGAAUAUUUUUGAUCCUUGAUAUCC